ACGUGAUCUGAGUUCAGACCGGAGUAAUCCAGGUCAGUUUCUAUCUAUAAAAAGCUUCCUCUAGUACGAAAGGACCGAGAAAGCACGGCCAAUGCCCUAUGCACGCCGUAUUUGGAAAUCUAUGAAAAACACUCAAUUGACACCCAACUUAUUACUCAACUCUAGAUAAGAGCA
rnacentral:rRNA from 1 species